AACGCGUAGGUGACGUACCUUUUAGUGGGGGACAACAUCGGGAAACCGGUGCUAAUACCGCAUAUUCAAUACGACAUUGAAAAAGUAUUGCAAAGAUGGCCUCUCCUUGGAAGCUAUUGCUAGAAGCACGGCCUGCGUUGCAUUAGCUUGAUGGUGAGGUAAUGGCCUACCAUGGCUACGAUGCAUAACUGGUCUGAGAGGAUGAUCAGUCACACUGGAACUGAGACACGGUCCAGACUCCUACGGGAGGCAGCAGUGGGGAAUAUUGCGCAAUGGGGGAAACCCUGACGCAGCAAUACCGCGUGAGUGAGGAAUGCCUUCGGGUUGUAAAGCUCUGUCCUAUAGGAAGAACAGUGUAGGUUAUAAUAUGACUUACAUUUGACGGUACUAUAGAAGAAAGCACCGGCUAACUCCGUGCCAGCAGCCGCGGUAAUACGGAGGGUGCAAGCGUUGUUCGGAUUUAUUGGGCGUAAAGCGCGCGCAGGCGGAUCGGAAAGUCAGAUGUGAAAUCUCGGGGCUCAACCUCGAAACUGCGUCUGAAACUAUCGAUCUAGAAUCUUGGAGAGGGAAGGGGAAUUUCACGUGUAGGGGUAAAAUCCGUAGAGAUGUGAAGGAACACCAGAG
rnacentral:rRNA from 1 species